UUUUUUUUUUUUUUUUUUUUUUUUUUUUUUGUGGCGGGGAAAAAAGAAGAAGUGUAAUUUGGGUUUAGGGUUAAGAAGGGAUGGUAUUUGAUUACAUAUAUGUAGAGUUGAGUUUCCUUGUAAGUUGGUGUGUGGCUCUAUCUUGUACGGGUCUACUGGUUGCAUAAAGUGGAGAAAAAGCAUUUUGGCUAGAGGUGGCUGUGUCUCUAACUAGUUGUUUCUUUGUUUGGGGACCCUUUUAAUCUAUCAAAAGACCCUCUGCAUCUUUCCUUAUCCUCUCUUGUGGAUGAUCGAUAAGAGCAUUUCCAGCAGACUAGUUAAUUUGUUUUCGAGUAAAAAACCGAUCAAUCUUUUAUUUCACCUCGCAACAUUUAUUAGCUAAACUCCAUUUUUAUUAAGAAGCCUGUCUAUCUUUUGCUCGGGUUAAGAGCAUUUCUAGCAAACUAACUAAACUUCCUUUUGAGUUAGGAAUCAAUCGAUCUUUGGCUCAAGUUAAGAAUAUUUUUAACAAACUAGUUAAACUCUCUUUUGAGUCAGGAAUCGAUCGAUCUUUGACUCAUGUCAAGAGUAUUUUUAACACACUAGCUAAACUCUCUUUUGAGUGAGAAAUCAAUCGAUCUUUGACUCAUGUCAAGAGUAUAUCUAACAAACUAGUUAAAAUUCAUUAUAAAUAAACAAUCAUUCACUCUGAAAGUUUACUCAGAACGUCUCCAUAAAACUAACUAAACUUACUUGGAAGUCAAAACACUCCUUCCAUAAACUAGCUGUCAAUGGACUUAAAAUAACUGAAAUUAGUUAAAUCAAAUUUAUGAAAUUAAAUUAAAGGUACACAGAGUGUGUCAUCAAAUAGGAAUACCACCAUAUUUCGUUUCAUUACUUUUUUUUUUCUUUCUAUUUUUGGUGGUUAACAAUUAAGAAGAUUGUGGCAAGUAAAAGUGCAUUCGAAUAUAAAGUUGAGAAAUGUCAAGGGAACUAUUUUAAAAGUAAGAUUCUUUAUGAACUUUCUAUCAUCUCAUGUUUAAAACAUAAGGUUUUACAAUAUUAACACAUAAUUAACAUUAAACUGUAAAAUGUCAUAUAGUCCGUAAAGAGCCAUAUUUUUAAGAGUUCUGUUAGCAUUCCUCGUAUAAGGUUUGCAUGUCUUAAUCCAUCAGUUUUGACAUUGCACGCCAAAGCCCACGAAUUAUCUUCAUGGGAAGAAGCGAGGAUAAUAGUGUUGAUCACAUGGAUCCUAAAUUGUCCACUCCUAAGCCAUACCACAUAUUUGGCACGUCCAAACGCUUGCAUGUCAAUUGUUAGGUGGGAUUAGACGCCAAUCACAACUUAGAGGAAGACUACAAUCCUAGCUAUGCCAUAUGCCGUGCUAUUUCAUUUUGGACUUGUAUAUUUGUGUCCAUGGAACAACAUUAUACACUCCACUCUCGUGUCUUCAGACUACCAUAAUAUUUCUUCGCAAUAAUUCUAUUUGGACAUCCGAUCACGUUUAAUAAUGGUUAGCUAUAUUAUUGUAGAUAAGAGCUACGCAUGUUAUUUUCUUGUGGUUAAAUAGUACUACUCUUGUUAAACGACAAUGAAGAUCGGACAAUACUUUCCUCUUUCCCAGUAAGGAGGUAAGAUCUCCUUCCUCCUAACACGAUAUCAUUUCAUUACUGAUGUCAUAACCAGAACGGUUUAUUAUCUCUAUUAUACUUUAAAGAUCAUUUCCAGAAAAAUUCAUUUAAUUUGAAGAUUGUUUACUCAUUCAUCUUAAUCAAAGAAAUUGAAUUCAGAUUCUUUGCUACUGUCAAAACAGGACUAGUAUUUUAGGAUUUUUUGAUAUUUUAUUAUUUGUUUAAUUCCUUUCCAAUUUCAAUUCUUAAGGUUUCCAGGGUUAAGUUACAUAAUAAAUAUGUCAUAUUGGCCUUAGGUUUGUAUUCAUUCAUAAUAUUAUCAAUUAGAAUUAGAGAUAUCUCUAUUUUCUGGUGGAUUCUGGAUUGUUAAUAGACUUCAGUUUAUUCGCUAGUAAAUUAUAGCAUGAAAUUUUGUAACAUCCCACAUCACACAUGGAAGUGGAUCUUGUAAGCCUUAUAUGUAUAUUCUCAUAUCUACCUAGCACGAGGUCUUUUGGGAGCUCACUGGCUUCGGGUUCCAUCGGAACUCCAAAGUUAAGCGAGUUCGCGCGAGAGCAAUCCUUGGAUUUGUGACCCACUGAGAAGUUCUCAUAUGAGUUCCCAGAAACAAAACUGUGAGGGUGUGGUCGAGGCCCAAAGCGGACAAUAUCGUGAUACGGUGGAGUCGAGCCCGGGAUAUGGUGUGGUCCGUGCCAGGAUGUGACAAAUUUCGUUCAAUUUCUCUUGUUAUAUAUCUAGUUGCGUCAGUUCAACACGAGGAUGCUACUUAUUAAAUCGAUUUGUUUUACACAUAUGAAUGGUCAUAUGAACUCUAAUUCAAAUUAAUUUGUAAGGAAUGAGUAUUAGAAGAUGGUAAAGGAAAUCAACAAUUUCAAUGAUGAUGUUUACACGAUAAAGCGAUGACGCGAUAGAAAAAUGAGGAAAGUAUUGUUCGUGAAAAUAUUAUGCACACACAUAUGGAAGUUGUUAAUCCUAUAUUAUAUUAUUUGUAACACAAACGAAUUGAACUACACUUUCAUACUUGCGAAGAUUAGUUGGAGAAAUAUUGUUGAGGUUAUCAAAAGAAGUGCUUUGAGGCUUUUGGAAUAUACUGGCAUUGAGUUUUACCUUUCUGCUGUUUACGCCUAGCUAAAAGUAGAAAAGCACUCUCUCUUUUUCUUUCUACGAUGCUAACCAAACGCUGUCUUAUUAUUCUCUCUUAAAAAAUAAGGAGAAAUGCUUAGGAAACUUUUUUAGAGCAAGAUUCUUUGUGGAUUCUCUGACUUUAACAUCAAUUUCAUAUCAAUAUUAUAAAACAUAAUACUAAAAACAUAGGGGGUGUAGAUUCAAUAAAGAGUCUAGAGUCUCUUUACCAUUUCUCAAAGAAAUGGUUUUCAUGCCAGACAGGUAGUAUAGUAAAGUUUUGAUGAUACAGAGAACAUUUUAAUCCAUGGGAUAAUAUUGUUUAAAAUAGUUCAUUAUGUGAAUACCUUUAAAGGUAACAGAUUAAUUUAUGUUAAAUACUGACGUUCUAACAUAUGAUUGGCUUUGAAAUUAACUUGGGAGAUGAAAUCAAAUUAAUUAAAUAAAUAAUAUAAUGGAAAAUUAAACCCUGGAAGUGAUGAAAUCUCAGAAGCAUGCUUUGAAGUUAAUGAUGAGGACCAUGGGGGCUUGGGGUUCACAAAGGAAUGAAAGCAAAGGGGGACAGAGAUCGACGUGAUAAUCUCACAACUCUCUUUGAAAUCCAAAACUCCAAACACCAUGCCUUCACUGCACGCACUGCAAUGGAGAUUUUUUGUUUUCUAAGUGCAAGAAGCUCUUGUAUUUACCAUCAGUUUUAACUCUUUCUCCAUGCAUUUGCUUUCGCCUUAUCUCUCACAAGAAGCAAACAACAACCCCCCAUUUUUCUUGAACUUGAAUCACAUAAAUUUCUUAAAUUCAUCAUUUCUUCACUCCCCAAAUUGCGUUCUCUAUUCGAUAAAUUAGCAAUUGGUGUCACAAAGACAAAAAAUGGAUUAAUCCUAAAUAUCGAAACUAGCUUCGGACAAGCUCACGAAGAAAAAAAUAGCUGACUUCUAUUAGUCAAGUUAACUGGAGCAGUAUUCUUUCUCUUUGUAUCUAAAUUCGAAUUUCCUACAAAUAAUUUGGGGUAAGUUAUAAUUUUGUGUUUGUCAAGAGAGAAUAAAAAUAAUAGAGAAACGAAAGAAUUGGUUUUCUCCUUUGGCAUGGUGUUUUUGUUGUUCUAUUCGACUAUUUUUCGUUUUAUAGAUGAUUUUGAUGUAAUGUUGAAGUUUACCAAAAUUUAUUUAUUUUUAUUAAAAAAAUGAAAGAAUUGACCAAACUCUGUAUUUUUGGGCAGAUUGAGUAAUGUUUUUGGCUUCCUAUGCAAAUCUCGUCUUGGUUCCAAAUCUUUGUGUGAUCAAACCAAGAAAUAUAUGAGAUUGGAAGUACCACUCAGCGUAGAGGGACAACGGAGUUUGUGAAAGAUCAUGCAUGUUUCUCUCCUUUUGAGUCAUGGACCUUUUUUUCUUCUUUUCAUCAAAGAAAUAAUGAGUAGUCAUGGAUAAAGCUGUUUGAUAACCAUUUUGUUUUCAGUUUUCAUUUUUUUGAAGAGGAUUAGUAAUGCUAUGAAUACUAAAUUUGUAGGUAAAAUUUUAUAAACUAAAUGAUAUGGAAGUUAAUGAUUGGAUUAUGACUUAAUUGUUGAUGAACGUGACUAUAAUAGGACACAUCCUUUGAUUUGCAAAUUUUGUCUUCCUAACGUUACUGUUUUAAAAAAAUGAAAACGGCGUACUUUCUUUAGAUUCAAAAUUUUAGCCUUUGAGUUUUCACUUUUCACUUUUUUGAAAACUGAAAGUAGUUAACAAACUAGAUGUUAAAUACUUUUAGUUUUCAAAAAAGUGAAAAUGAAAUGGUUAUCAAACGGCACCUAAAUUAAUUUUUUUUCACAAGCCACAUAAGAAUUAGAUUAGUUGGUCAAAUAGUAUGCUGUUUUGUUAAUCCAAAGUUUGAAUCAGCUUCCUUGUAGAUAAAAGUAGAAUAUCCCUUCGUCAAAACGAUCUUUUUUCACAAGAGUAAAUCAAGGAAUAGAUUAAGGAGACUGGUUUAGAAUUCGCCAUCCAAAUGGUGAAUGAAAUAAUGAGGUAAACAGUCAUCAAAACAUGAAUAGUGAAUAAACGUUAAUGCAGAUGACAUACUGAUUAGUAAGCAGAAAGAGCGGUCUGAUUAGGAUGGCGCAUGUUAAUUAGUUGGAAACUUGGGAAAGAUGGCAGACAGAAGCACAAGGCUAAAGCCUUAAUUAAGUGCAUAAACAAAUGUGAUUAAGUGCAAUGUUUGAAUUGGAGUCCUCGUGAGAGUUUAAGAAAACCUUUUUUGUGAGUGAAAGGCAAUAUUUAAGAGAUAAAGUCUGAUAAUAAAGCUCCUUUGGUGCAAGGCUGCAAUGCCAAAGAAGAAAAUAUUUAAAGUAAAUUGGUAUGGAUCCUUAUCGAUGGUGGACACUUCCAUUUUACCAAAGAGAAGAAAGAUGGUGGAUACAUUUCUAAUUAAGUGGCUUUAAUUUGUUGGAAAUUGGGACAUAUAUGUCAUGUGGAUUCACGUUGAACUUGUGGACGGCAAAAUUUGACUUUGGCUUAAGCUUUUAGGGUACUUAUAGGGAGACUAGGGAGAUUAAUUUAGGUAAAUGCAUACGUCGCUCAUCAUUACAUAAAAAUAAUUUUAUUUUAAUGGAUGAAAAAGCCUUAAAACACAGGCAUGUGUUUCACAAAAAGUCUCUGAAAAAAAAGCCAUUUGUCCAUCAAUUAUUUGCAAAAAAGAAACAAUUUUACAAAAUUGAAAGGGUAUGAAAUUAGUUUUUUCAGUGAUAGAUUACAUAUAUAUGUGUUUGGUAUUUGUAUAAAUUAAAGCCUCAUAAUUAGGGAAAGCAGGCAUAUAUCUCUUAUCUUUUGGACUAGUGGAUAAACAAAUCAACUAACACAGUGUUUUGCACUUUAAUUAGGGUUUGUCUAGGGCACCUACUAUUGCGUGAUCGCACCAUUAAGUGGAAAAAAAAUUCAUUGUGGAGGAACAUAGCCUAAUAUACUAAGUAUCACAAUACAAAUGAUUGGAGUUGUUUUUAUUCGAGUAUCAAAUUAUUUGUAUUAUAAUAUUUAAAUAUAUUAAAUUAUGUUCUCAGCACAUUAAAAAUCUCUCUAUCAAGCAGGGUUUGAUAAGUAGUUAACUAAAAACCUGUAGAAUAGAGGAUGCUUCGCUGGUACAUAUCCAUUGGGCCACAAAACUGAAGAUUGGUCCAUGUGUUUAGCCACCCAAAGGCCUCUGUGUAGAGGCUCGAGGCAAAGCGGCAAACCAACCUUGGAACCCAUUUUUCACCAAGGAAAUGAUUUAUGCACUAUCGUUUCUUUUCUUUGCAUUUUUUCUUUUGUUUUUGUCCUUCAAGUGUCUUUUGAUAUAUUCAAUCUAACAAUUUUUGAACAAACUGAAUCUAACAGUUAUAAUAAGAAAAGGGUGACGUGCGAGAAAAAGAAGGUGCAUAAACCGUUUUCAUUUCCAUUUACGUAUCUAUUUAGGAAUUAAUUAUUAAACCCUAAACUCUAACUCAUGAUUAUGUCUUGCAGUAGGGAGGACCUCUGCUCGUAUAUAUUUCCAGAUCUGUUCCUCACCCUGAUAAUACGAUUAUAAUAGCCACACUUAUACAAGAGGCCAUCACAUUCAUACCAAAUAAACACGAAAACAUGCACGCAUGCAAUUCAUCACUUUGCAAUAACCAUUCCCAAAAAAAACAGAAACAGUAACUCUCUAACCCUGCUUAAUUAAAAACCCUGCUAGACAAACGUACACAAUGUAGAAACUCAGAUAGUUUAAUGGGACAUCAACAUGGCAUAACUUGCAGGUAUACUGUCACUAGUACGUAAUGGCCAAUGCCAUAAUUCCGUAAAAUUCAUCCCUCGAAAUCUUCAGGGUGGCCUUUCGGUCCUUCUGUCUUAUUUCUAGGUUUCACCUAUAUAUAACCAAAUUCAGAAUUAAACCAGAGCUAGUACUGUCGAUUAAUUAUUGACUCUCUUAUUUCUACGUUCACCUUUUGUUUAAUUACUUUUAAAUAUUUGUUGGUCAAAUUGGAUUAAAAUUGAUCGAAUUAUACCAGAAGUGUGGUGGGUGCAAGUUCAACUGGAUGGGAUGCUGUUAGCUCCUUGAGUUGCAGCUGCAUCUUACUCAUGAAAUCCAUCGACUUUUCCUAAGUUUCCUCCGUUGCUUCUUUCAGUUUCACAUGUGCCGAGCAAUAUACUUCCUGGAGAGGCAUAUUAAUCCUAUCUCGUAGUUAUGCUGCUUUAGCUAUGGCGGUGGUCUCCUGUGGUAAACGGCGGCGGUUCCUCAUGGCACGUAUGAGGGUUAGGGUUUGUCCUUAUGCUGUUUGGUUGGACCAUUAAUGAAGCAUUUCAUUUCCUUUUCCGACCAAAGAUAUGAAAAGAUAUGUCUGCAAUUAUUUUGUUCAUUGCUAUACAUGCAGUGUGUAGCCAUUAAUUAAUUAAUUAUUACGUACGUACCUGAGCAUGCAUGCGAUGAGGUGCUCAGCAAUGAGAGCGAUGUAACGUAGAAAUGCAUAUGUGUGUGUGUGUGUGUGUGUGUGUGUAUGAGCUCCAUUUCUACACGCUUAAAGCUUCAAUGAUAGUACGUACAAAAUACAGGUGUGGUGGCCGGCUGAGGAAACAUAGAAAGCAUUUAAGACAAGAAGCGUAUCCAAAUGGAGAUGGAGAUAGCUAGGGUAGGCGUAGGCUUACUCUGAAUCUCUCUGAUUGCUUCAUCAAGUACGGAGGACGAAUAUAUGACAAAAACAGUUCCUGGGAGGCUGGGACGUCGUCUCUGGAGGAGUCAAGUGUGGAUCUAAUUUAUUCAGAUUCUGAUCACCCUGCAACUGCAAACACAGUUACUUACAGAGUCGUCUAUAUCUACACACACACACACACACACACACACACUCUUCUAUAUAGCUAGGCAACAGGGCAGGGGCCUGAAAUGCAAGGGAAGUAUUUGAAGCCAGCCCAGCAAAGCAUUGGGUUGGAUUUCAAGAAAUUGGCUUACGGUGGAACUUUUAUUUUUUACUUUGACAUUCUCUAUUGAAGAAAGCUAAAGUUCUGCCCAAAAUUAAUGAACAAGUAACGAACGGAGUAACCUAACUUUAGCUAUAUAAGUUCAUGCAAGGAUUUCGUUUAUCAAAAUAAUUUUACGUUAUAGACCAUAGACGUUCAUGAUUCCCCUCUAUACCCUGCUGUAAUGAUUCCUCUAGCAUUAUGAUUUUCACCACAAUAAUGGAUAGAAUUUUUUUAUAAAUAUGCAUGCUAUUUAGUAUUUUGAUUUAAGCUCAUAUCACUAUGAGAGUUUUCUGGUUCGACAAUAACGUGUUAGAUAAUCAAUAUCGAUUGUAUCGAAAAAGGUGAAAUGGUAGUCCAGUUGAAGCGUAAUGAAUAUACAUAUGUAAUCGUUGUGUCUUAUAUUCGUUCUGAUUCUCUUCUACCCUUAAUUUCUCGGGAGUUCCUGUUCAUAGCUAAUUAGCAUAAACAUAAAGGAGCAAUAUAUAUAACAUUUCCUGGGCAGGCAUGAAGGAGGAAUUAACUGAUGAAGCAUUGUUACAAAGUAGAUGCAAAUGUACAACCACGUUUAUUAUAAUCCAUUGUAUAUAACUUUUCCUGCAAAUUAAUGGGUACAUAAAUAAUACAAAGCAAGAAUCUAAGACAUGAAGAGCUUGCGACUUGACAUCAUACCCAGCAAGACAGAGAUGAAGUUAAAAAUCGUUCAAUCCUAAUUUAAGUACAUACAAUGGGAGUUUGUUAUACAUAUCUUAUCAACAGGAUUUUUCGGAGUAUUCUAUACUCCGGAGCACCAUGGAAAUUUAGAUCGUCAACAAACCAUCCCAACUUAUGAAAAAAACAUUAUGUUUAGAAUCUUACAACCACAACAACCAGCCCAUAUAUUAUGCAGGAACACGAAGUAAGCAUAGAACUUGAGGCACUCAU
rnacentral:lncRNA from 1 species